AAGCGGGGCUUAUGAGGGAGCGCCCUGAAGACUACGCACAUCCGGGCGCUUAUCUCCGGGCCGGAUCUCCAGGGCCGGUUCUCCCGGUGGGUGGGUGGGGCAACCCCUUUGACAGGUAUUUAACUUAAGGUUCAGUCCUCUUCAACUAAAAACUUGGAGAAAACAGAACUGGCCAAGACAAGAAGAAUCAAGCAGAUGGGUGGCAGCCGUGGCUGAGGAACAAAGCCAUUCUGGAGAGCCAGAGCCUGUGACUGCUCCAUCCACCCCGCCGGGGCCAGGGGUCACUCUCAGUACUUACCUCAGCAGCUUCUAGCACCAGGGGGUUUCAGAACAUGGGGGCACUCAGGAAAGCCCUUUCCUGGGAGGUGAAACUUUGGGGCCGAGUGCUGAGGCCCCUGCUGUCCUGCCAAGGCAGGACGGGAGGCACCAGGGGCAGGACUUGCAGCUCACGGCAACCCCAUCCGGCUUUAGCUGGGCUGUUGAGUGCCACAGGGCAGGUCAGCCACUGGACGGAGGUAUUUGAGAAGAGAGGCAUCCCUGAGGCCCGGGAAUCCAGCGAGUACAUCGUGGCUCACGUCCUUGGAGCCAAAACAUUUCAGAGCCUGAAGCCGGUUCUUUGGACCCAGCCCCUGACCCCUUGGCAACUACAGCGCAUCCAGGAGCUGUGUAGCCACCGAUUGCAGAGGAUGCCUGUGCAGUACAUCCUUGGGGAGUGGGAUUUUCAGGGACUCAAUCUGAAGAUGGCACCCCCAGUGUUCAUCCCUCGGCCAGAGACAGAGGAACUGGUUGAGUGGGUGCUGGAGGAGGUGGCCCAGAGGCCUUGUGCAGCGGGAGCCCAAGGCGGCCCCCUCAUUCUGGAGGUGGGCUGCGGAUCUGGAGCCAUCGCCCUUAGCCUGCUGAGCCAGCUCCUGGAGAGCCGAGUCAUUGCUGUGGAUCGGGAGGAGGCCGCCAUCUGUCUGACCCACGAGAAUGCUCAGAGGCUUCAGUUGCAAGACAGGAUUUGGAUCGUCCCCCUCGAUGUGACCUUAGAGGGGAGCUGGACACACCUUCUGCCCUGGGGUCCUGUGGACCUGGUCGUCAGCAACCCUCCCUACGUCUUCCACCAGGACAUGGAACAGCUGGCCCCAGAGAUCCUCAGUUAUGAAGAUGCAGCCGCCCUGGACGGUGGGAAGGAGGGCAUGGACCUUAUCACGCACAUCCUGUCCCUGGCACCCCGGCUCCUGAAGGACUCUGGAAGCAUCUUCUUGGAAGUGGACCCAAGGCAUCCAGAGCUUGUCAGCAGCUGGCUUCAGAGCCGGCCUGGCCUGUCCCUCAGUCUCGUGGCUGUGCGCAGGGACUUCUGUGGGAGGCCCAGGUUCCUGCAUAUCCGGAGAUCUGGGCCAUAGUGUGGCUGUUCUGCAGAUGCCUGGCCAUGGUUCCAGCCUGCACGACUGCCUGGCUGGCCCUUAUCGGAAUGCUGCUCAGGGAGAGAGAUGGCCUAACCGGUUCUUGCUGGUGCAUGGAUGAGCCAUGCCAUCUGCUGGUUCACUCCCCAAAUGGCCCCAACGGCCAGGACUGGGCCAAGCUGAAGCCAGGAACCUUGAGCUCCAUCCAUGUGUUGCAGGGGCCCAGGGACUUGGACCAUCUUCUACUACUUUCCAAGAGCACUGCCAACAUCGGAUCGGGGCCUCCGCUCCAACAGGAAGGAAUAGCAGCCGUGAGCACAGGUUCUUCCUGCUGCAACAGGAGCCAGAGAAGGAGGGCUCCUGGUGCUCUUGUCCAUGUGGGCUCCUGGCGAAGUGGGAGCCAGAGGCGUGGGUGGGGCCCGGAAGAAGCAGCACUCAGCAAGUCUACACACUCACACCUUGUGAUUAAGGUAAGCGACACCAUCAUCCCCACUUCACAGAGUGGGGGUGAGCUCCCAGAGGGCUCAUGAUUUGCUCGAGAUACCAUGUAAGUUGUGAGGCUCUGGUACCCCCUGUAACAGGGCAUAAGGGUCCUGUGAAAACCCAGUGGAUACCACCCAGCCACUCUUUUCACGCUGACUAUGUACCAGGGUACCAGGUCAAGUUCUCCCACAGUUGAAUUUUCUGCAGCCAAGGCCAGCCUGACCAAGGCUGUAAGUGGCAGAGAAUGUGGCAUUUCCGUCAGCUGCCCCCAGUAGCCCCUGAGAACUGGCUGCUCCCUGGGCUGCCCCCACUGCCAUGCUACAGUGGUCAGAGGACCCCGGUGCCCAGCUGCACCUCCCAUCUGUCCUCUGGACAGAGUCCCAGCCUUUCUCUCCAGGACUGGGCCCUGCAGGAUGGUGAGCUGGGGAUAGGUGGGUGGCAGUGAGGGCCACGGAGUGACCUGAGGGCAUGAGCCUGAGUCCCUGCCCGCACCCCUGUCCAGCCUCGGCCAGGGGAAUCCUCCUCUACUCCAGGCAGACUGGUGCCGAGUGGUUAAACGGCUGCCCCAAGGCCUCCCAGCAGGACGGAGGCCCUCCCUUCCCUUCUGUGCUGACCUUGACUUGCUCUGCCAGUGCCCCAGCUGAUGGUCAGCACACUGACGGCCACCACCUGGGAGAGUGUCCAGACCCUAACCCAGCCCUAGGUCACACCCUCCACAGCCUCCUGGGAGCUCCAGGAGCCAGGCAUGGGCUCAUUGAAGCCUCCCAUCUUCAUUCUACAGGUAGAGACACAAAAACUCCCAUGGGCAUAGCAGGGCCAUGGUGCUGGGACUACUCUGGGCAGCUUGAUGCUGAACCCGGGGCCGAUAGGCCCUGCUGUGGGACAGGGAGUGAGGAUAGGGACAAGGCUGGCCUGGAGAGUCAGAGCUGGCUGCCCUUCAGCAAGGGGGCUCAGUGAGCAGGACCUGGCACUGCUGACCCUGCUGACUGUCCUGCCUACUCUCCCUGGGCCACUCAGACUCCAGGUGCUUCCCACUCUGGGGCAGCUCGGUCACACCUAAUCUCUCACCACACCCACACACUGCCCCUCACAGGCACCUGCACCCCUUUUUUCUCUACCCACACACCCAUUUCUGACUGUCCAGUCUAUGUCCCAGCCUGGGCGCUGGGCAUUGCAGAGGCUGUGCCAGACCUAGGCCUGCCCUGGCAGAGCCUUUGGAGUGGCUCAGCAGUCCCCAAACUGGGAUGGGGGAGUCUCAGGGGGUACCUGCAGUCAGGGAGGGCUUCCUGGAGGUAGAGACCCAAGCUGCGGCCUCAGCACCCUCCCCCACCCCACAUCACUGGCCAUCCUCGGCGCCUCUCCCUGGAAUGGCCAGCAGGUUCCUGGAAGCGUCCCCUGGCCCUGCCGUGCUGGUUCCAAGAACUGCAGCUCUUGGCAGCAUUUGCUUGGGAUCCUUUCCUGGAACCUAGGCCUUGCCCUGCCGCGGUGGCUGAGGUCGCACAGGGCAGCCAGUGCAAGUCCUGAGGCAGGGAGCAGCUUGGAGGGGCCUCUGGAGGGAGGACACUCCAUGGGCCAGACACUGACAGGUGGGUCCAGGACAGGGUGGAGGACGGGAGGUCAGGGAGGUGUAAGUGCUUUGGCCCCCAGUCAGCCAUAGGGACAGCCCCAUGAGUUCUUGUCCAGAAGGGAGGCCCCUCCCUGGGCCACAAGUGGACUCACCCUCCACCCCCAGCCCUGACACCAGCCUUCAUCAGAUUAACUCUGGAGGGACAGGCCAGGGGACAAGGGAUAGGAGUGGCAGCUUGUGAGCAGGGAGGGGGGAUGGGACCCUUGGAAGGUCAGGACACCUGCGUUAUUAAUCCUGUUAUGAUUGCACCUUGGGUGAGUACAACAACACUCAGUCACAUGCACCCCGCCCCCGCAAGUUAGGUGAUUGGGGGCCAGGCCCUGAUGAAUGGGCAAGGGCAGGGCCCAGCUCCCCUCAAGGUCACCAGGCCUCCUCUUCUGGGGUGUGUUCUCUACCCCCACCACUUCUGAUCUGGCACCAGGCCUGCCCACCCGCCUGGGACCUGCCAGAUCACGUUGAGCAACCGGUUCCUGAGAAGCAAGGCUGUUUAGUUUAAAAUUAACUCCCCCGCUCCCCUCCCUCCUGCGGCCUCCUCUGAGUUCUUGGAAGAGACGCUCAGCUCUUCCUGGGAAGAGGCCUCCAGCCGCAGCAGCUGCCACAAUUCUGGCGAAAACACCUCACCCAGG